GAUGAACGCUGGCGGCUUGCCUAAUACAUGCAAGUCGAGCGAACAGACGAGGAGCUUGCUCCUCUGACGUUAGCGGCGGACGGGUGAGUAACACGUGGAUAACCUACCUAUAAGACUGGGAUAACUUCGGGAAACCGGAGCUAAUACCGGAUAAUAUAUUGAACCGCAUGGUUCAAUAGUGAAAGACGGUUUUGCUGUCACUUAUAGAUGGAUCCGCGCCGCAUUAGCUAGUUGGUAAGGUAACGGCUUACCAAGGCGACGAUGCGUAGCCGACCUGAGAGGGUGAUCGGCCACACUGGAACUGAGACACGGUCCAGACUCCUACGGGAGGCAGCAGUAGGGAAUCUUCCGCAAUGGGCGAAAGCCUGACGGAGCAACGCCGCGUGAGUGAUGAAGGUCUUCGGAUCGUAAAACUCUGUUAUUAGGGAAGAACAAAUGUGUAAGUAACUAUGCACGUCUUGACGGUACCUAAUCAGAAAGCCACGGCUAACUACGUG
rnacentral:rRNA from 1 species